AGGAAAAUUUUAUUCACCGAUUUACGGGACCAACCUUGUUGUGCUUCCUGGAUCAAAUCUUAGUAUAACCUGGGUUUUUGAUGACCCUAUAUCAGCAGUGCUUAUUCGGUUUUGGAAUUUCAAACAUAAUGGCGCAGCACAAGAACCACUUGCAAGAAUAAUAAAUGAUAAUGUUCCUAGUGUACUAAACAGCAGCUUACCUGGGAUUGAGAUCAUAAAGCCAGCAACCUUGGUAUUGAAAAACGUUGAUUAUACUUAUAAUGGAACAUACGAGUUUUCCCUCUGGUCAGG